rnacentral:rRNA from 1 species
UACAGAGGGUGCAAGCGUUAAUCGGAUUUACUGGGCGUAAAGCGUGCGUAGGCGGUUCAUUAAGUCGGUUGUGAAAUCCCUGGGCUUAACCUGGGAACUGCAGUCGAUACUGGUGAACUAGAAUGCGGUAGAGGGUGGCGGAACUCCGGGUGUAGCGGUGAAAUGCGUAGAUAUCCGGAAGAACACCGAUGGCGAAGGCAACCACCUGGGCCUGCAUUGACGCUGAGGUACGAAAGCGUGGGGAGCAAACAGG